rnacentral:rRNA from 1 species
CGCUGGCGGCGUGCCUAACACAUGCAAGUCGAGCGGAGAAUACAGAAAUGUUUACAUGGAUGUAUUCUUAGCGGCGGACGGGUGAGUAACACGUGGGUAACCUGCCUCAAAGAGGGGGAUAGCCUUCCGAAAGGAAGAUUAAUACCGCAUAAGCUUACAGCAUCGCAUGAUGCCGUAAGAAAAGGAGUAAUCCGCUUUGAGAUGGACCCGCGGCGCAUUAGCUAGUUGGUGAGGUAACGGCUCACCAAGGCCACGAUGCGUAGCCGACCUGAGAGGGUGAUCGGCCACAUUGGAACUGAGACACGGUCCAGACUCCUACGGGAGGCAGCAGUGGGGAAUAUUGCACAAUGGGCGAAAGCCUGAUGCAGCAACGCCGCGUGAGUGAUGAAGGCUUUCGAGUCGUAAAGCUCUUUGAUCAGGGAUGAUAAUGACAGUACCUGAAAAACAAGCCACGGCUAACUACGUGCCAGCAGCCGCGGUAAUACGUAGGUGGCGAGCGUUGUCCGGAAUUACUGGGCGUAAGGAUGCGUAGGUGGAUACUUAAGUGGGAUGUGAAAUCCCCGGGCUCACCCGGGAACUGCAUUCCAAACUGGGUAUCUA